CCCGGGCGACCGGCGCACGGGUGAGUAACGCGUAUGCAACCUGCCCGUUUCAGCGGGAUAACCCGGAGAAAUCCGGCCUAAUACCGCAUGUGGCCGAGGGGAGGCAUCUUCUUUCGGCCAAAGGAGGCGACUCCGGAGACGGAUGGGCAUGCGUGACAUUAGCUUGUUGGCGGGGUAACGGCCCACCAAGGCGACGAUGUCUAGGGGUUCUGAGAGGAAGGUCCCCCACACUGGUACUGAGACACGGACCAGACUCCUACGGAAGGCAGCAG
rnacentral:rRNA from 1 species